CAUUUAAACGGCCGCGGUUAACUGACCGUGCAAAGGUAGCAUAAUCAUUAGUCUUUUAAUAGAGGGCUGGAAUGAAAGGUUUAACGAGGAACUACCUGUCUCAUUUUAUUUGUUUUAAAAUUUAAUUUUUUAGUUAAAAAGCUAAAAUUUUUUUGGAAGACGAGAAGACCCUAUAGAUCUUNAUNUUAUUUUAUUUAAUUUUUUAAAUAUAAUUAUUUAUAAAUAAAAUUUUAUUUUGUUGGGGUGACAAACAUAUAUUAUUAACUUUUUUAUUUAUUUAUCAUUGAUCUAUGAAUUUUUGAUCCAUUAUUAUUGAUUAUUAGAGUAAGUUACCUUAGGGAUGACAGCGUAAUCCUCCUCCCGAGUUCAUAUUUACAGGAAGGGCUUGCGACCUCGCUGUUGGAUUAAGAUUAUAAUUAGGUGUAGCUGCUUGCUUAAUAGGUCUGUUCGACCUUUAAAUUCAUACGUGAUCGGAG
rnacentral:rRNA from 1 species